rnacentral:misc_RNA from 1 species
GUUGUGAGAGAGUCGUCAGAGAAAUCGAGGUGCUUUUUGCAAGCAGAUUAGUUUGUAGUAGUAGCCUGACUGUUGUGAGAGCUUAUACCGCGUGUGGAGAUUAUUUAUUUACUGGUGUUUCUUCAGGAAACUAGAGAUAUCUUAUUGUCGACAGAGCCAGUGUUACCAUAAACUCGAAAGGUAUUUGAGAUAAUGUUUUUGGGCUAUCUUUUUUUCCGAUGAAAUUACUGAAUGCAAAUUCUCAAGAAUAUAUUCACUGUAUGUGUCGCCCAUAUCUCGUAUCAGUGUAAAUUGUAAGGAAGAUGACUGUUGGCAGCAGCAGCCUGUUUUACUGUAUUUUUACUUCAGCUGUUGGAAAGCAAGACGAAAGCUAACAAAGUCUGCAUACAGCUAAAUGUAGGUUCUGUUAAUAAACAUGGGUUGUACACCUAGUAUAAAUCAGUCUGGUGUUGUACGCUGUCAGGAGUCGGACCGUUCUUCAUCUGACACAAAUCCUAAUAAUCACCAAAUGAACUGGCUCGAGGGAAGCUUCCGAAGGAUGGUGUCGUCAGACGAGGCGGUAGAAAGCGGAGGGUCAACCGGAAAUAGUUUGCAGAUAGUUUCCUGUUCAAAGUCGGGGAUUGUGCAGAGUGACCAGAACACAUCAUGGAUGUACAGAGAACGUGACUUGAAGAGGACCAGCAACACCUUGAAGUUCGGACCCAUGUGCCUUACUUUACCGACAAUAAAGGUGCUGCUAGUUUUCGACAAAGAGGAUUCUCAGUGUAAAGCUCUAAAAUUGGCAGUGGAAAAACUCCAGUACGACUACGUCGUUGUCACCAGUGACACACAAGCCCUCGAUCGUAUACGAAACAGUCAUUACCAUCUAGUGAUUGUAGACACUCGUCAUCCAUCUGGGUUCGACCCUUUUCUUCUCGCUAGGUCGUUUCGUCUAUCCAAAGAUAACCAUUAUAGCUGUUUUGUUGCAGUUGUGAAACGGAGUUUGGCAGAAAAAGAAGACUCUUUGAUAUUUAAAAUAUUGAAUGCUGGAUUUGACAGGUGGUUUCUAGAAAGCUGUAGCCUGACUUUGUGUUUGAGUGAGCUAAUCCUUAUUGAGGGCAACGAAAUCAUGACCCGUCUGAAACUUCAUGCAACGCAGGCGCUCUUCACUGCCCUGGAAAACUCUUGUGACGCUGUUCUUGUAACCGGAAAGAACCAGGAAAUACAGUACAUGAACCAAGCGUCUGAAAAGUUGAUGGGUUGUAGCGCAGAGGAGAUGAUGGGGAAAAAUGCUUCCCAGCUUCACAGAUCCGACUCUACUAGAACAGAAAUAGUAGAGAACGUUAAUAUUAAGAAAGGAAAUGAUUGGGAAGGUUCAGGAUUUCGCAAAAGAAAGACUGCCCAGCAUACGCCAAUGUGGAACAAGGUGACACCAGUGGACGUUCAUAAUGGAGCCAAUGAGCACACAGUAUUAGUCAGAGAAGGGAGAUCCAGUUCCUUUUAUUCCGAGAAGUCUUAUAUUCCUGAUUGUGACUUCCUUCCCUAUACACUAACCAAUAUGAAAUCCAUCAGAAAUCCUUCAUUCGAUGUCAGAUCUUUGUGUAGUGAAGCUGGUAUGAACAGAAGACAGUCCCUUGCCAGACUUCAUACAAUGACGAUUGAAGCGCCAAUCACGAAGGUCAUCAACAUGCUAUUAGCGACACAAGAGAAUAGUCCCAACUUUGUGGCUAAAGACAUAGACAAAAUUUUGGAAAUACUGAGAACCAGUGAUCUCUACUCUCCGCAGUUGCUAGGGCUCAACCAACAUCGGCGACCAACGGACGACAAGUUGACGUCAGAUUUAAUCAGCAGCCUCGUCAUGCAAGGUCAAAAAUCAGGGCAGCGACGAUUUUCUCAUGACAUCAACCAAAAAGUAUCCAGAAGUUCCAUUGUGUCUUCACUGGCAUCUAUACCAAGUUUAGAUUCAGCUCCCAGACCAAUUGUAAGUGCUUUGGAAAAAAGUAUGGAGUGGAGUUUCGAUAUAUUCGAGCUAGAGAGAAUAAGCGAAAAAAGGGCACUUACGUGGCUGGGAAUGACUGUCUUCUCUUCUUUUAACGCCUGCUCUGUACUAAGCUGUGACGAAAAAACGUUAAAAAGCUGGUUAACCCUAAUAGAAGCCAAUUACUAUAACAAUCCUUACCAUAACUCAACACAUGCGGCAGAUGUCAUGCAAGCAACUGCUUUUUUUCUCCAGAAACCAAGACUUAAGACGAUAUUCGAUCCUCUAGAUGAAGUGAUUUCUUUGAUUGCUGCCGUCGUCCAUGACGUCAACCAUCCCGGAAAGAAUAGCGCUUUUUUGUGUAAUACGAAGGAUGAAUUAGCGAUUCUCUACAAUGACUUGUCUGUUUUGGAAAGCUAUCAUGCAGCACGAGCGUUCAAACUGACCUUAUCGGACAAAAAUGUCAAUAUCCUACAAAAUUUGGAUAGAGAUAUGUACCAGGUUGUUCGAGAGUCCAUCAUUGACAUGGUUCUAGCUACAGAGAUGACUAAACAUUUUGAACAUCUUUCAAAGUUCGUCAAUGUCCUAAAAACCAUUGUUCCAAAUGAAGAAGCAGAAGAUGACAAGCAGCUAGAGAACUGUCAAGAGGUAUUAAUAACUAUGUCCAGUCCAGAAAAUGUUAAACUAGUCAAGAGGAUGCUGAUAAAAUGUGCAGAUAUCUCCAACGCCGCCAGACCUACGAAACUAUGUGUUGAGUGGGCCACCAGGAUAACAGAAGAAUACUGUAGACAGGUUUGUUCCAUUAUCCGCUCCGCCAGUGAAACAGUUGUGAACUUUAAGGACGGACGAAGAAAAGGCCAAAGCUCUACCGGUUGUAAUGCCCACCUUUGACAGAACUACGAUGAGUCUUCCCAAAGCACAACUGGGAUUUAUUGAUUACUUCAUCAAUGAUAUGUUUUCAAGCUGGGAUGCUUUUGGGGACUUUCCUGAAUUAAUUGACCACAUCCAAUCGAAUUACCAGUACUGGAAAGAACAAGAUGAUGAAAGACAGGAACAAGAAGCUUCCAAGGAGGAAAGUUGAAUAAUGUUUUUUGGGAUUGGUAAAAACG